rnacentral:tRNA from 1 species
AGGAUAGUAGUUUAAAAAAAACAUUUAAUUUGCAUUUAAAAAUUUUUGGAUUCCAAUUUAUCUUA